CCUUCGAUAGCUCAGUUGGUAGAGCGGUGGACUGUAGAUGGUUUUAAGAAGAAUAUACAACAGAUAUCCAUAGGUCGCUGGUUCAAAUCCGGCUCGAAGGA
rnacentral:ncRNA from 12 species